GGAGAGGUCAAGCUGGUGCCUAGGUAGAAGAGGGAUCUUUUGAGAUAUUUUUCUUAUACUGGAGAGAUGGCUCAGUGAUUGGGAGCACUAACUAUUCUUCUAGACGUCCUGAGUUCCAUUCCAAGCAACCACAUGGUGGCUUACAACUAUCUGUAAUGGGAUCUGAUGCUCUCUUCUGCUUCCUGCUGGUCCCUCCCCACAAUAGAUCCUAACAUGGUUUCAAGUCACUUCAAUUCUAUUACUCUUUUCCCCUCUCCCUUAAGACUUCUUUUUCCCUCUCAUAGUUCUCUUCCAUGGCUGCAGGGAGUGACCCAACUGGGCAAUAAGGGAAUGAAGAAUGGACAGACAUACAGACAGACACAGAAAAGCUGAAAUGAGGUCAUCUGGACUCUCUGACAGAGAAGCUACAGCCCUCCCCACCUCCCAGCAAAAAAAGGAAAAUAACCACUUUCCUCUUCUACAUCAAGGGAAAUAUGGCUCUUCUACAUUCCUCUCUGACCCUCCUACAAGACAUUUCUUAAAUCUUUUCACCUAUUGUCACAGUAAAAAUAAAUUAUAAUUAAUUAAUUAAAAUAAGAUAAAAAUUUAUAAAAAGAUUUCNNNNNNNNNNNNNNNNNNNNNNNNNNNNNNNAGUAAAUAAAUGUUGUGAUAAUUAAACAACAAA
ensembl:lincRNA Gm37083 predicted gene, 37083